CGCCAAUUCCUCAAGGCUAUUUGUCCAGAACAGCGCCGAGCGCUCAUUCGGCACUCGGAGCGUGUUUUCCAACAAGAAAUGCGUCUUGGACUUGCUAUUCUCAGAACUAUGUCUUUGAUGGAGGUACAGUUGCUCCAAGGAACCCUAAGUCCUGAGCACAAGAGGCCACACCUGGGUAUCAAGGUGCCCAAAUGCAAGAAUCUCAGAGACCAAGUACUUUGUGUGCAUCUUACUGAGCCCUCACUUCAGCACCCUGACAGACACUGAGAUGGCAGAGAGCAGCGGGCCUCGGGAGGUAUGGAGUUUACCCUGCUCUCCCAGGACGACGCCAGGAGCCCGCAGGGUUUCCCUGUAAACCCGUCUCUGACACUGUGUGGGAUUCUCUGGACCGCAUUUCUGUAUGACAUCAGCACCAGCAGACCUAACCACUUCCUGCCUGGUUCCUCUCAGGCCUUGUCACCAGCCCGCCUGAGCUGUGUCACUGUGACCUCCCAGUCUGGAUAGAAAAUAAUGUGGGGUGGCCAGCAGCCAGGGAUAAAGGAAACAAGCACCCGAGGAAGCCAGCUUUGUGGGCCCUUCCCUCCCGCACGACUCUGUAGGUGGAGUCCUCCUGCAGACAGAGGGCGCUGGCCCGCAGGGAGGUCCACGUUGUUCAUCUCUAAGCCUGCAGGCUGCCUGAACUGAAACAUGGACAAAGUCGCAGAGACACCCAUGCCGAAGAGUUUGGCCAGCAAGUCUUGCCGUGACCUCCUCUGAAUUCACUCUGUCUGGGGCCUGUUCCACUUUUCCCCUCCCAGCCUGCAGUGGCCAGCCCUGCUGAGGUUGAAGUGGUAGCAAAGAUUCGCUUAACAAAUGUGUUCAAGAUCCUCAUAUGCGCCAGUACCUCCGACAGCGCUGCGUGAUUACUCCUUGGGGUACAGCAGGUGGCCAAGUGUAUGCUGGUUUCUGUGUGCUGCACCUAGCACCCUCAGGAGGCUUUGCUGAAAGUGCCUGGAAGUGGGAGUCUGCUCGAGGCAGCUCUUGGCCAGUGACUGGGCCAAGGGCUGUGGAAGUCAGUUCAGAGGCAUCCUUCCGAGUUCCUCAGCAGCAUGAGACUGAAGAAUCCUUAGGAGCAUCUUUGCCUAAAUUACACAGUUGCUUGCCUUUCUCCUACCCUGUCCUACAGUCCCCACCUAUGUAUCAGUUUUUCCUGGGAGUAUUUCUUCACAAAUCACAUGGAUUCUCAUGCCGGGGUCUCCUUCUAGGGAACUCCAAGACGGCACAUGAAGAAAGUAACCUUGCUUCAGGCUAAGUGCCAGUUUCUUUAAAAUGUAUAUAAUCCCCCCGGAAGCCUCUUUGACCUGCAAUGACAGUCCACAUUUCCCCUCUCCCACAUACACAUCUAGCCUCUCAUUCCAGGGGUUUGCCCAGCACUCACCAGGCUGCCAGUCUGACCCAGAAUUCUUGGAGGGCAGAAACGAUAUUUUAACUAUUAUCUGGAUUUUAAUUCAAAUGACAGAAUAAAACGAUGCAUUGCUCCCAACAGCCCUGCUGGGCAUGGAGGCAUGGGAAAGUCACUGGAAUGGGUGUAACACAACAGCUCUGCUGGGCAUGGAGGCAUGGGAAAGUCACUGGAAUGGGUG
ensembl:lincRNA